rnacentral:rRNA from 1 species
CCUACGGGAGACAGCAGUGAGGAAUAUUGGUCAAUGGACGAGAGUCUGAACCAGCCAAGUAGCGUGAAGGAUGACUGCCCUAUGGGUUGUAAACUUCUUUUAUCAAGGAAUAAAACGAGGCACGUGUGCCUUUUUGCAUGUACUUUAUGAAUAAGGAUCGGCUAACUCCGUGCCAGCAGCCGCGUUAAUACGGAGGAUCCGAGCGUUAUCCGGAUUUAGUGGGUUUAAAGGGAGCGUAGAUGGGUUGUUAAGUCAGUUGUGAAAGUUUGCGGCUUAACCGUAAAAUCGCAAUUGAUACUGGCAGUCUUGAGUACAGUUGAGGUAAGCGGAAUGCGUGGUGUAGCGGUGAAAUGCUUAGAUAUCACGAAGAACCCCGAUUGCGAAGGCAGCUUACUAAACUGUGACUGACAUUGAUGCUCGAAAGUGUGGGUAUCAAACAGGAUUAGAUACCCCAGUAGUC